UUUCCAGGAUGUUACUUCAGCAUGUCCACUGGAUACCUAGGUAUCCAGUAGGAUACUACGUAUCUGGAUAGAUCAAGGAUACUGAGAUGCUACGUAUCUCAGCAGAUCUGGUGGAGAAUUCCUUAAUUUACUGGAAAAGAAAGACUAAGCCAACAACUCUUUGGAAUCAGGCAGGGAAAAGAACAUCAUUUCAGACCAAUCGCGUUCCUAUGUGAGAGAACAAUCUGGAAAGUGUGGAUCUUGCCCAUGGGUGUACCAAAGCUGUGUUCUGAAGUAUCAAAUGCCUGCUGUGAUGGUUAAUACUAAGUGUCAACUUGAUUGGAUUGAAGGAUGCAAAGUAUUGAUUCUGAGUGUGUCUGUGAGUACGUUGUCAAAGGAGAUUAACAUUUGAGUCAGUGGGCUGGGAAAGGCAGACCCACUCUUAAUCUGGGUGGACACCAUCUAAUAUUCUAGCCAGCACGGCUAGAAUAUAAGCAGGCAGAAAAACGUGAAAAGAGAGACUGGUCUAGCCUCCCAGCCUACAUCUUUCUGGAUGCUUCCUGCCCUUGAACAUCAGACUCCAAGUUCUUCAGUUUGGGACUCAGACUGGCUUUCCCUGCUCCUCAGCUUGCAGACGACCUAUUGUGGGACCUUACGAUCAUGUGAGUUAAUACUUAACAAACUCUUAUAUGUAUAUAUACACUCCCCUUCUAUUUCAUAUAUAUAAUAUAUGUAUAUAUAUAUAAUAUAUAUAUAUACACACACAUACUCCUAUAUAUAGGAGUAUAUAUAUGAAAUAUAUAUUAUUUAUAUAAUAUGUAAUAUUUUAUUAUUAUAUAAAUUAGUUCUCACUAAUAAAACUAAUACUCUAUUAGUUUUGUCCCUCUAAAGUACCCUGACUAAUACACCUGCCUUUUGAUGAACAAACUUUACUUCCCCAGUUAGCAAUGGCUCCGUUUAUUCACUCCAUGUGUCAGAACUUCGGGGGGACACAGCUUAAAUGUGAUUCUCUCCAUUAUUCCAUCCAUGACCACCACUAUUAGAUCCCCUACCAAUAUUCUUCUAUAGCAACCCAUUCUCCUUAGGUGACAGAUGCCAACUUAUAAUUCUUUGUUCAGACUGUCUUCCCCACUAGAAUGUAGGCUUCAUGAGGUCAAGAAUGGUGACAGUUUUAUUUGUUUCUAUAUCCUCAGUCUUAGGCAAAGAAGUUAGUGCAUAUUA
rnacentral:lncRNA from 10 species